UACGUAGGGGGCGAGCGUUGUCCGGAGUUACUGGGCGAAAGCGCACGCAGGCGGUCUGCUAAGUUUGGAGUGACAGUUGGUGGCUUAACUGCCAAAGUGCUUCGAAAACUGACAGACUUGAGGGCUUCAGAGGGACACGGAAUUCCGGGUGGAGUGGUGAAAUGCGUAGAGAUCCGGAGGAACACCAAAGGCGAAGGCAGUGUCCUGGGGAGUACCUGACGCUCAGGUGCGAAAGCCAGGGGAGCGAACGGGG
rnacentral:rRNA from 1 species